CGAGUGAUCUACCCGAUGGACGCACGCUGUGAGCACAGGAAGUACUGAGCAUCGCGCCAAUCAGAUCUUCCAGCUGUUUCUCCGAGCUCUGGUCACAAUAGGUGAUUGGAGCCGUGUGACGUACCAAUGUUAAGGAAGAGUUCAGUCAGAACUCC